AUCCCUUGAUGAGGGAAUUUUCUUAGAAACUUCUUGAACCUUUCCCAUGCAUCAUACAAGGAUUCUCUAUCAUUGUGAAGGAAAUUUUUUAUCUCACCACUUAAUCU